rnacentral:lncRNA from 1 species
AUGUAAACCCCCCAUCUACCCUUACACAUAUCCAGAAGGAAAAAUAGGAGAUGCCAAAGCCGUCGGCCACCGAUGAGAGAGAGAGAGAGAGAGCGCGAUCGCGAAUGAACAACAUCGCGGGCGAAGUCCUCACGCAGUCCCCCAUACUCCAGCCAUAACAAUGACGGUCGACAACGAGUUCGUGUGAGGACCGCGCAACGGCUAGGGUUUCACGGGAUCAACAAGUAAUGAAGGUGGUAGCUACGAUUUUGAGACACGACGACAGCUUUGAGAAAGCACAUCGCCUUCCAGCUCUGCUCGUCGCUCUUUGGUUCCCGGGAAUGUAACGCACCGCACCGCACCGCAUCGCCAACGUCCAGGUGACUUUAUGUUGGUUAUUAUUUCUUUAUCUGUGAAUAUACUCGCAAAGGUUGAUGAACUAAUCAAGGACAAGACUGAAACGGAGAAGGGUUCUGGUGCAAAAGAGCAAAAACGAGUAAUAUGGGAAUGAUCAGCCAGUCGGGCAGAGUAGAAUGCCAGAGACCGAAUUAAAAUUGCCGCUAUUUUUCUUGAUUGGGUAAAGCCUAUUUAUCUCUAUAUUAUUUAAAGUAAAAGGCCAAUUGAUAUUUCCAUAUACUAGUCUAUGACGGCAGAAGGUUGAAAAAGUUCCAUUCGAUAUAUUCCAUACAAAAGAUCAGAAGGUAUAUAUUGUUUUGUGGUUGGAGGCGGCUAUACUGAUUGGGCCGAAGCCCAUUUGUUUGGUUCGUGACAGAUAAAGACGAAUAAGAGGAGGCUGCCAUAAAAAAAAAGCAAUAUCAUCGAGCCGCACAUAAUUCACGUAGGAGGGCUCUAUGUCACACCCCAACCAAUGGCGGAAACAUCGGGAUGAGACGAAGUGUGAAGAUUGCUAGAGACAUCAUAACGCUAUUUGUGACAAUAUUUAGAAAAUCCAAAUUUCAUUUCAUU